rnacentral:rRNA from 1 species
UACGGGAGGCAGCAGUGGGGAAUAUUGCACAAUGGGCGAAAGCCUGAUGCAGCUAUGCCGCGUGUAUGAAGAAGGCCUUAGGGUUGUAAAGUACUUUCAUCGGGGAGGAAAAAACAAAACUAAUAAUUUUAUUUCUUGACGUUACCCGAAAAAGAAGCACCGGCUAACUCCGUGCCAGCAGCCGCGGUAAUACGGAGGGUGCUAGCGUUAAUCAGAAUUACUGGGCGUAAAGAGCACGUAGGUGGUUUUUUAAGUCAGAUGUGAAAUCCCUGGGCUUAACCUAGGAACUGCAUUUUGAAACUGAAAUACUAGAGUAUCGUAGAGGGAGGUAGAAUUCUAGGUGUAGCGGUGAAAUGCGUAGAUAUCUGGAGGAAUACCUGUGGCGAAAGCGGCCUCCUAAACGAAUACUGACACUGAGGGUGCGAAAGCGUGGGGAGCAAAACAGGGAUUAGAUACC